rnacentral:lncRNA from 1 species
CACGACCAAUUUAAGGAAUCCCAUUAUUGGAAUAAAGGUCAAGACAUGGAAAACGCCGUGCGUUAUAAAACGCUAUUUUAAUAUUUCGGAGAUUGGAUCAUCAUGGGUUGUGGAGUCUACGCAUGAGAGCUACAACAGUACUACAGUCCCGGAUGUUUUGCCCGAGUAUGUGAGCAUCGUGAAGCCAGAUGAACUGUCAGCAACGAUACCACACAUUGAGCGGGAGCAGUGGUACCACGUCCGCGCGUUAGCCUUCACCACCACCGCUGAAGGGAAGCCUUCAGACUCAUAUGACUUCAAACUGGGUUCUAAAGAUGAGAACGAUAAGAAGAAGUCCUGUGAAUGAGUCAUAUCUGAGACGCCGUGUGAGUCGAGAUUUGUGUCACCGUAUUGGAAGUCUUGUUAGACUACUAACUAACUAUUUUAUUCUAUUAUUUAUUAUGUAUAUUUUAUAUUUAUACAUGUAGUAUAUA